AAGGUUUUAAGUUAAUUAAAACUAAUAGCCUUCAAAGCUAUAAAUAAAAUAAAUUUUUUAAACCUUA
rnacentral:tRNA from 2 species